UGCAAAGGAAAGUACUGCAUGCUGAUUUCAUUUCAGCUCAUCAGCAGAGGAAGAUGGCCACUUUUUUUGGGCUGUAAAAUCUUUUCAGAUGAUAUAAUAGAGAAUAUAUCUUUAAUGGAUGUCAAAAAGGCAUACAUAUUUAUAAUCCAACCAACAAAGAUAGAUUUUUUUUUCCCUCUCAGUUGAGAUAUUUAACCAACUUUGGAAUGGAAGAAAGAUCAGUAACCUGCAUGCUUUUCAAGGGCGUUUUCAAGAAAAGAGAUUUCCAUCAAGUGUGUGGACGAUGCCGAUGGAAUUGGUGGAGUGGUCGUCUAUGACUAUCAAACAUACUCCCUUCAAGUUGCCGUCGAGCAGUCUGCUUCUGGUGGACAAGGCCCUCUCAGUUCUGUGAGACCUUUUCAAUUUCCCCGUUAUGACAAUGAGGACCCUCCAGAGACUGACAGUAAUGCACCAUCCAGGAGGAGGAGGUAGAGAAGAUGAGUGAUACACACAGCCAUCAUCCCUCUCCAUGAAUUGGCAAAUUGAGACUCCAGGAAGUUACUGGUCCCGGACUAAGAAAUAGUCUACAAUACAACCCCUGUAGAGAGAAAACUGCCCUUUUUACAAUUUGGUGCUUGUAUGGAUUUAAACAAAAAAACAGAAUCAGUGAGCUUUAGUGCUAAUAGGAUUUUUUUUUUUUUUUGUUUGGACAGAGCCAGGUGAGCUGUUUCCCCAUUUCAACUCCGUAUUUAUAAAGUAUAGAGAUUUAUUAAUUUUCAAUUGAAACACUAAUCAUAUAGUGAGGUAAUAUGUGGCCUGAUAAGGAAGUGCGGGAAGUCUGAGAGACUGUGGAAAAAAGUCAUAGAUCAUUUUGUAAGCCCUGUCUCAGCUGGAUACCUAGCAAGUAUUUUAAAGAAAUUAUCACAAGUUAAUUGGGACUAUCUCACCCAUGACACUAUGAUCGAAUCCUCUCAACACUAUACCUAACAAAUUCUUAUCAGAGGAUCUGGGUGUAGCCCCUUGUUUGCUUAACUCAUUAGCAGUUCUUUAUCUUCUGGAUGUGUUUCAGACUAUUUCAAGACCAGUAAUUUCCUAGGCUCUGAUCAUCUACAGACCAGUUUUUAAGCUCCACUUUCUACAAAAAAAAACCUGGAGAAAAUUGUCUCAAAUCAAUUGUUAGAGGGUUUGAUCAUUAACAUAAUUGAUAAUUCUUCAGUUUAGUUUAUUUCUGUUUAUUUGUUAUUGAUAUUUACUGAACAUGAAUGUGUAACUUUUUUCUUUCUUUUAUUUGUCCUUGUAUUUGAAACACUUUAUAAAGAUGCCCUAUGAAUAGGGGUGUUAUUAUUAUUAUUAUUUAUGCACCUUCAUUGCAUUAUUCAUCUGUCCUUAAUGACAAAAUAAAUAAAUAAA